rnacentral:lncRNA from 10 species
CCUUUCCGCCUUCCUACUCUGUAACCCUGCUUUUCGUUUCCUGUGUGUCCUUUCAGAGCUCCUUUUGCUUUCAAAAGCAAAUACAAAUACGGGCAGCUUCUGAAUGGAUGGCCAAGUGACUCUGGAGCUUCCGCGCUGUGUGAGGGCUGGGCUUUCUGUCCCUGUUCACCCUCGAACCCAGGCUUCAGCCACCGCACGGGAGAAGAUGGUUCAGACCACACCUCUACCCUGACUCAGCACACACAGCUGUACCGUCAGGGGCUGCAAACCAACAUCUCUCAGGGCCUUCCUGGAAGCUGCGGCUGGACUCCCCUUGUACUCCAGGGGAGCAUCCCUGGAGGCCCAGGUCGGGGCUCCUGGAGGGUCCCUGGGUUCUGGGGGACAGAAGAACAGGUGAGCUGGAAGCUUUUUUGGGGAG